AUGUAUUUUUUACUGGUAAAUACUGAAAUUCUUUUUACUUUUAAAUGCUGAAUUCAGGGAGUCGACAACUUUAGGCACGCAAGUUAUUUUUCACAGAUAUCUGUCCAGUUUACUCAUGGCUCAUACUCUUAGCCUUUAAAAUGUUUGAAUGUAUAUCCGCAAUACAAUAUCAGGGGGUAAAGAUAUCAUUAGAGUUUUUAAAGUUAUGGCUAUGCUCUUGUUACCAGAUGAGAUAUCUUUGACCCUGUGAUUCUUCAGGACGAGAUCUUGAUGCCAUCAACACUCAGUACAUGACGAAGGUUUUCUGGGAUCCGCAGCGGAAGGCAUCAAGGCGUGAGAUGUUGGCCUGGACUGAUGUACCUGAACACCACACCGACCUCUGCUUUUGCAUGGAUGGCUGAUUACUACUAUGUUCUGUAUAGGUUUUAUUAUAGCAAAACUGAGCACCUGUGACAGUGGAAUCUGUAGGUGUAAAGUAGUCAAACAUCAGUACAUUUAAAGUCACAGAGAGAAAGUUUUUUUAUUUUUUUAUAGAAGUUUCAAA